rnacentral:rRNA from 1 species
AUGGUUUUGCUCCUGACGUACGCCGCACUCGCAGCGGCGACGAUGCGACGGCCGGAAGAGAGGGCACACCUCGCCGAAGCCGAACCGGCAGCGGCUACCUCCUCGCCGGCGCCGGCUCCACCGUACACCGGCGUCUCGGUCUUCAUCCCGGCACCGCCGCCUCUGCCUGGCAUGCCCGCGUUACCGCCGUUGCCCGGCUUCCCGGGCAUGGCAGGCGCGCCAUCGCCUUCUCCUUCGCCUUCGCAGCAGCCGGCCAGUUGCUUGGGAGCGCUCGGGCGUGUGAUCACGUGUGCUCCGUACCUCACCGACUCCGUGCCCGCGCCGCCGAGUACCUGCUGCGACGGCUUCAGGUUGCUCGUCGGCAGCAGCGCCCGGAUCUGCUUGUGCCAUGCCAUCAUCGGCAACUUGAGUACAUUGGCAGGGGGGGAGAUCGACCAGCUUCGCUUGCUCGUGCUGCCUCUGACGUGUAGCACGUUCGUCCCCCCGGACCUUCUUCUCAUGUGCAUCCUGUCUCCGGUGCCGCCGAUUAUGCCUCAGCACGACCGCGCCGGUGUCGGAGAAAGGCUCGGUGCUCUCGGCGGCUAG